UGUUGCUGAAGUGAAUAUAUGUAACAUUAAUUCACUCAAGCAUACUAAUUUAUAGUUAUCUUUAUUUUAUUGCAGGAGAUGUUUCCUAAAGUAGGUCAUAGCUUCAAACAGACUCUUCGGAUUUCUUCUACUAUCUACUUGCAAGAGAUGUUUCUUCUACUCUUCAGGUUUCAUUCUGUAUUGCAUAUGAGGGAACAAAUGCAACUCAUUAAAGCUUUGCUGUGGAAUCAAGUAUGAUUUAUAAGAUAAGAGAAUUUUAGAUGUUGCGACGAUUCAUAGCACAUAUCUUUCAUGCUUCAUAAAGCCAUCUAGUACGUGGGCGGAGGAUUGGGUUUGUCUCUCAACUCCAUUAUCCCCGAGUGCAUCUGUAGAACAACUAUUAGUUACAAAUGACCAUGGUGUAAUCUGCAGUUAGUCAUUUUUG
rnacentral:lncRNA from 1 species